UUCCCCUUCUUCUUAGCUUUAAAUUCAUAUCAUAUCAUGUAUAUAUAUAUAUAUAUUUCGAAUUAAAUUAAAUUAAAUUGCAUCAGAUCAGAUCAGAUCAGACGAUGGCGAGAAGAGCAUUGAAGGUAUUAUUAUUCGCUUUUUCUAUUGGAUACAUACAGCCACAGCCACGUCACCUUCGCCCUUUUAACUCUCCUCCACCUCCUCCCAACUUCACCCUUCCCGUCCGAGGAAACGCCGUCAAGUGCCGGAGUAUCGCGGCACUUUUCCGCAUGCUGAAGGGAGCCGCCGUUAGUAUUGCCGUCCAUCUCGGCAUCGGCGGCGAUUGAUAAAAUGUUUAUAAUUAUGUGUGCCCUCUGUUGGUGUGUUUCCCGCUUUAAUUAUAAAUUACGUGUAAUAAUUAUGUGUUCCUUUGGCUUAUGUUUCGGUCAUUUGGGUGCGAAGCCACCCUGUAGGAAAAACGUCGGACACCUAAUUUGUAUGCUUUUCUCUGUUUUUUUCCCCUUUUUCCCUUUCCUAUCUCACUUACCAAACGAAACCUCCCGAAAUCUAAUCACCGCCGUGGAGAGGGAAUCUUGCUCGUCGACUGGGAACCAAAGGUCGGCGGCAAGAUGUCGUUAUUGAACGGCAUACUUCACCGGGCGGUGGCGCAGGAAAUUGGAUGGAGACGAAGAAGAAGAAGAAGAAAAAGGAGGAAAAAAAACAAAAAAAACAGAGAAAGAACGAGAGGGAUAGCGAGAGGAA